rnacentral:rRNA from 1 species
UGGGGAAUAUUGCACAAUGGGCGAAAGCCUGAUGCAGCAACGCCGCGUGAGUGAUGAAGGCCUUCGGGUUGUAAAGCUCUGUCUUUUGGGACGAUAAUGACGGUACCGGGAGAAGAAGCUGCGGCUAACUACGUGCCAGCAGCCGCGGUAAUACGUAGGCAGCAAGCGUUGUUCGGAGUUACUGGGCGUAAAGAGUGCGUAGGCGGUUUUCUAAGUUCGGUGUGAAAUCUCCCGGCUUAACUGGGAGGGUGCGCCGAAGACUGGGAAGCUGGAGUGUGGGAAAGGCAGGCGGAAUUCCUGGUGUAGCGGUGAAAUGCGUAGAUAUCAGGAGGAACACCGGCGGUGUAGACGGCUUGCUAGACCAUAACUGACGCUGAGGCACGAAAGCGUGGGUAGCAAACA